rnacentral:lncRNA from 1 species
CACUCCUUCAUCACCUGUGGUGGAUAACAACUUUCUUGUAAAGAUCAAAUUAGCAAACAAUAUUGAAAUGGCCCGUGGAACACUGAAACGCGUAGAAAAAAUGAUCCGGGACUCUCCCGAGCUGCUCACUAGUGAAAACAUUAAAAAGUUCUAUGGCAUGUAUAGAGAUUGCAGGAGUUUAGAUAAAUAUCUAGGAACAUCUUUCUUCCGUGACAGACGCUUCUACCCUUUAAUAUUUGAUGUUAAAGAACUGGAACGAACUGGUGAACAGAAAAAAUCCGAUGCCAAAGUUGCCAAUGAUCAAAACAGUGGUGCAGAGAUUAAACAGUCCUCAUUACACUCUGUAAAACGGCUGAACUUAUUAAAAUCAUCGAGCUUAAAUUCCUGCAAUGAAGAGACUGAAACUGUUGUAAGCCCAGAAUUAGACAAAAGUGAUGAAUGGAGCUCCCCCGUUGCCAAGAAAAGUUCACGGUCGCUGUCCACUGUCACCGGGGAAUUUUUAUCUGCCAACCUAGCUAGUCUAGAAAUGGAAUUCUUUAAUAAUUCCGUUGUAAAUGCUGCCAAAUCAGAUUCAGCACUCAGUAGUUCAAUUGAAGACUCACAAAUGGAUUCUUGCCAGAACAGCUCAGCCGAACAACCAGUUGAUCAGCCCAAGAAAGUGAUAGCCGCAACUGGUGGCUGGAAGACAGCCUGUCAUACCUGCGUAGAGUUGUGUCAGUUAAUCCUUGAGCAGCUUCUUAAAGCAGAAGCAGAGGUCUAUAAGCUGCUCAACCAUCCCUCUUGCAAAUCGUUGCAGGAGGAAUUGACAGGAGUCAAGAAUGCUGAUGAAAUGAUCGAUGAUAUUCACAAAUACACCCAGAUAAACUCCUUUGCCUCUGAGAAGCUUACACCUAUCGAGGGGCCCAUUCCUGACUCGCCUGAGUCGCCUGAUCCAGAAACAGCAGAUGUUCGUUUUGCCGAUGGAUCAAUCAUUUACAGAAGUAAAUCUUUGCUAGACCUUCUUGCGGAAACACAAAAGAGCCAAACCAUCGUUGUGUAUGAAAAUGAUACAUCAGCUGAUUCUGGGGUAGAUGCUGAGUUUGAACUACCGGCUUCCGUGUCAAAAGUCUUACUUCAAAAGGAAGGGGAAGGUAAGAAAUUUGUCAGGCGACACAGAAUGCUUUUGAACCAGUAUGCUUACUUCUGUUAAGUUAUUUUAAGGUGAUUCUAUGUGAUCUAGGGACAAGAUUCGCCACUGCGUUGCGCUGCUAUGCAGUUCAUGUCUUUGAGAAGCAAUAAUUAUCGUUACGUGCGAGUUAAUGAGUGAAACUGAUCCAUAACGUGCAGCAGCAUUAAUACUGAGUAGAAUGACAUUAAAUUUGUUAAGAUUCAUUGUAAAUUUAAACCUGAAACAAUGAUAACGGACGUCGCCCAUUGACUCAAUGUGUAAGAAAGAUAUGGUGCUAUCAUGACUCUCUUACACGUUAAAUCAAUGAGUGUCAUCUUUUAUUGUAGUUUCAGGUAUACAUUUACAAUUAAUCUACACAAAUUUGAUGUCAUACUACUCAGUAUUAAUGCUGCUACGCGUUAGGGAUCAGUUUCUUGCAUUAUCUUGCACAUUACGAUAAUAUUGCUUCUCAAAGACGUAACCAUGAGACAGCGCAGCAUAGUGGCGAAUCUCAUCCGUAAAUGGCAUAGAAUCACCCUAAUAAUCAUUGUUAGGGAUCAUAAAUGUGUUGCACACCGUUCAAUACUGUAUCUGUAGAUGACGACGACAGGAGCCUCAAUGAUCUUGGUGGUGCUAGAACUGCUAGAACCACCCUCCAGCUGUAGAACUAAUGAAAAUUUCACUAUUACUUAUAUUACAUGGAGGAUGAUGGUCUCAGCUGGCAGGAAAAAUAGUUACUGGUAGCACACAAUGUAUGGAUGCCCAACAGAAAGGCCAGCUCAAGAGACCAAAUGAGGGCCAGUGUAAGUCUUUAGCAUUUAAUGUUCUAAGGCUGCCCCUAUAUUCUUCAUUGGAUAUGCAAGGGUUGCCCUACAGUAAAACUUGACGUGCUCCUAAUACGUAUUUUUUCAGUUUGCAGUCAGUUUUUGUCCUUAACUUUCUCAAAAAUCACCAAAGUGUCACUAUCCUCUUGAAAAUAUCUUUUUUUCAGGUUUUUCUAUGCUGAGUGCUGUGCCAGAAUGCCAUAAGUAUGAGUCCUCGAAAUAUGUACUGCCACAUGUAACCAAUCCAAGAACUUUAUGAAAACUGUGAACAAUGAAAUCAAGCUACUUCUCACCUCUUUACCAUGUGGAAUAACUGUCAAAGGAUUUGAAGGUCGAAUGGUGAGUUAUGGCCAAAUUCAAAUUAUUGACUCCUGUUGAAUCUUGGAACAAAACCCGAGUAAUCAGGGAGGAAUACAGAAAAAGGGGAGCUAUCCAGAGAAAUCGUGUAACCAAAUUUACCUGUAUGAAGGCCAUCAUCAGGUUGUCCUAAAUAACGCACAAAAAGUUUGCUGUGAUCUAACUUUAAGAACCCUCUUCAAAUGCCUAAAAUUAGAAAUGCAAUUGUUUAUUUUCUGCGGAAAAUACAUUAUAAUGAUAAAGCUGUCGAGAAAUUCAGAAUUUUAAAAUAAACAAGUAGUGUUAUGUGAUGUAUCAUUUGCUCAUUUUAGCUGUAGAUUUUAAAUGCAAGGUCAAAAAACCCCUUAGGCAAUUAGGGUGCCCCAAAUCUAAGUUUUCGACUAAUCUGGAAAGCAUGAGGGUAUAUUUAUUUUAAAUAUUGAUAUAUGUAAUAAGUCAAAUGAGGUGUGAUUGCCUCAGUAAUAUCAGUGUAGAUUUCAAAUAUGAAUUAAUAAACAUCCCUUGAUCAUAGUGAGCGUCUCAAAUUGAAGGGCAGAAGGGUUCAAAUUAGUUAAAUAUUCACACAAUCAGUCGAGCAUGGUAUCAUUACCCGUGUAAUUUUGUAUUAUGUUUCAAAUAUUUGUCUGUAGCAGAAAAUGUUAAGAAAGUCAAACUGUUUCAGUUUAUCCAAUAAAAUUGGUACAGAAGUGAUGGAUUCUCAGUAGAUUAUUAAGUAAGCCGUUACAGUCCUAGAUGACCGUUACUUUCAAAUGAAAUUAAUCG